ensembl:lncRNA
GGGCGUCCGCGGCUCCGGAUGGCUGCUCGUUGGCGUUGGGGCGUGGGCGCGCGCCGAGGCGAGGGCGUCCUCAGAGGAAGCGGGGUCUCUGGGGCAGCCCUGGGAGCAGCUCGCCUGAGAAACGCCUCCGUGAUGCACCAGGUUGCUCUGUAUACUUAUGGGAAUCCCUGCAGUCAUCUCGGAAACGCAGAUAUUGUUAGACUGAAGAUGCCAGCUUUGGCCUUACCGGCAACAAGAGUUUUCCCUAAUUCCGACAAAGAAUGGACGGGACACAUGGGGAAGGUGGCUGCCUGGAAAUGGCCACACAGACUGAUCGCAAUGCCUAAGGAAAACAAGCUAAUCAGAAGCAUUCUCUGAAUUCCAGUCUCCAAACUCUUAACUUUUCUUGUUAUUUCCUGUCAUGGGACAAGCACUUGCGGAGGAAAAGGUGAUUUCUGGAUUGUCUCCAUCCUUCUGCAGCCAUCUGCAAUCCUGCCUGCAUUCUGCAGUCGUCUGCAGACAGCUCUGGAGUACGUAGUUUUGUUAGAAUUGUGCUCUACCAGAGGAUCAGAGUUUCAGGGAUUAAGAAAAGCCCUGUGCAGAACUUGCUUGAGGGGUGUGAGUGGCUGUGGCAGGCCUGCCCGGGACUGCUAAAGCCACUGCUGUAGCAUAGGAGAAAGACAGAGCAGGAAGGUGCAUAACGUUUGUGGAUGACAGCCUUGGAGUGUGAGCAGAAAUAGCCCUUGGGAUGGUUGCUUAAGCUCCUUUUUCUCUGCCAGAACCUCCUCCUUGCCUUUUGUGUGCCUUGCUGUUUCCCUCCUUGUCCAUUGUUUUUCACUUUGUGUGCUGGUGGCCUGAAGCGGAGUAGUUCUGACAUGCGUCUGAGUUUAAGGACCUGCUUCUAAAUUAUCAGCUUGCCAAGCAGACAAUCUCUUCUCUGACUUUCUUCGUCGUGGUGGAUUGUCUGUCCGUCUUGUGACAUUUGUUUAUUUUCAGAGUCCUUUGGUUCCGUAGGCUUUGCUUGAUGAUGCAGUCAUCUCCUGCAUUGCUAACAGUCUGCUUUAUUUUCUUUGGGAUUCAGGUUUUAAAUCUCUGUGGUAAAACCCCAGCCAUUGCUUUCUUCGAAGCAUUCCCAGACCCCAUCUGAUUCUGCUUGUAUGUGUAUUCCUAAGCAACAGCCACCGUCACCAUCAGCUGUGCCACGAAGAUCAUUCUGCCUUUGCACUGUGUUCCCAUGAGCCUAAUACCAAAAGGUAGAAUCACAAACUUAAAUCAGAAGGGUUCAUUAUUACCACCUAGUCCUUCCAGUCUAACAGAGGGCACAAAGCUUCUUCUGCGAGUCUUGAACUGAGUCUCAUGACGUGUGGCUGAACUGGAGGAUUGCUCGGAUAUGUCUUUCCACCUACCAGCAGAGCAAAUUCUGGAUCAGGUCAGCACCCUGGUAUCAUAUUUCCUUAGGUACCAAAAUACUUAACACUUUAAAGGCAGACAAAAUCCGUAAGUGACAGAACACUUCAAAUGCAAGAUUUUACGCGGGGUGUUGACGCUAACUCUUUUGGAUUCUGCCGUUAGCGAUCUCCUACCAAGAAACAGGAAUGGAAAAGCAUUAUUCUUUCAAGAGUCUGAACGCACACUAUGAACAUUGCAAUUUUAGCCUCUGCUUAGGCUUUCUUAAAACAUAUAACUUGCUUGCAGUGUAGUUCUUUGCACUUUAAUUCAGCGAUGUGUGCAAAGAAUAAAUUCUUCCCAAGUACAAGCA